rnacentral:rRNA from 1 species
GAUGAACGCUGGCUACAGGCUUAACACAUGCAAGUCGUGGGGAAACGGCAUUAUGUGCUUGCACAUUCUGGACGUCGACCGGCGCACGGGUGAGUAUCGCGUAUCCAACCUGCCCCUUACUUGGGGAUACCCCGUCGAAAGACGGCCUAAUACCCGAUGUGUUUCAUUGACGGCAUCCGAUAUGAAACAAAGGUUUUUCCGGCAAGGGAUGGGGAUGCGUCUGAUUAGCUAGUUGGCGGGGCAACGGCCCACCAAGGCGACGAUCAGUAGGGGUUCUGAGAGGAAGGUCCCCCACAUUGGAACUGAGACACGGUCCAAACUCCUACGGGAGGCAGCAGUGAGGAAUAUUGGUCAAUGGACGCAAGUCUGAACCAGCCAAGUAGCGUGCAGGAUGACGGCCCUAUGGGUUGUAAACUGCUUUUAUGUGGGAAUAAAGUGGCGCACGUGUGCGCCAUUGCAUGUACCUCAUGAAUAAGGACCGGCUAAUUCCGUGCCAGCAGCCGCGGUAAUACGGAAGGUCCGGGCGUUAUCCGGAUUUAUUGGGUUUAAAGGGAGUGUAGGCGGUCUGUUAAGCGUGUUGUGAAAUUUAGGUGCUCAACAUUUAACUUGCAGCGCGAACUGUCAGACUUGAGUACACGCAGCGCAGGCGGAAUUCAUGGUGUAGCGGUGAAAUGCUUAGAUAUCAUGAGGAACUCCGAUCGCGAAGGCAGCCUGCGGGAGUGUUACUGACGCUUAAGCUCGAAGGUGCGGGUAUCGAACAGG